UUACAUAAUGUAUUCGAUAAAAAAAAUUGUGACAUGACCCAUUUACUGUACCGUGACCUUGCAGAGAGCGUGUGACUUUCUCUUCACCAUACAUUGGAUUUAACGGCUGUACAUUAAACCUCCUGCAACUGACGCAAGGGGUUUAUUCUGGACUUCGGACGGGAAAAACCCAGGGAUUACAAUAUCUGCAUUAUACGCAAGUUAGCUAUUUGGGUUCGACACGGAAGAAACAUAACUGUUUGAUAUUAAUCCAAUAACAAAUGUGUGCUCAAAGUUUAAUUGUUUUAAGUAUUCUUACUAGUGUUGAAUUUACU
rnacentral:lncRNA from 1 species